rnacentral:rRNA from 1 species
UACGUAGGGUGCAAGCGUUGUCCGGAAUUAUUGGGCGUAAAGAGCUCGUAGGCGGUUUGUCGCGUCUGCUGUGAAAACUGGAGGCUCAACCUCCAGCCUGCAGUGGGUACGGGCAGACUAGAGUGCGGUAGGGGGAGAUUGGAAUUCCUGGUGUAGCGGUGGAAUGCGCAGAUAUCAGGAGGAACACCGGUGGCGAAGGCGGGUCUCUGGGCCGAUACUGACGCUGAGGAGCGAAAGCAUGGGGAGCGAACAGG